UCGUCUGUAUUUCGCCGCAACGCGCGCGUUGAUAUAUUGUGAUUGGAAAGGGACGAAUAAGCAGAAGAAAGUAUCCUUCCUUUCCAUACGCAUAUAUUAUAUUUCUCGCUGUAUUCGAUAUCCUACAUUGACUUCCAGUACCAUUUUGGACGUACUUGACGCCAGCAAAUUAGUCUAGCAACACAGUCUCCACUUGCGCGCUGCAGCCUCAGCCAAGACGCGCAUUGGCGUCUUGGCCAUGCUGUAACGCCGCUAAGGCAGCCCUUGGCUCACCGGGCCACAUGCCGACUUACAUAUGCCGACUGUGUUUCUUUGUAUCU
rnacentral:lncRNA from 1 species